UUGCUUUACCUGUAAAGGGUUAACAAAGUUCCCCAGGUAAAGGAAAAGAAGUGGGCACCUGACCAAAAGAGCCAAUGGGAGGCUAGAACUUUUUAAAAUGGGAAAAAAACUUUCCCUUUGGCUGUUGUUCUCCGGAGAAGGAGACAUGAGGCAGCAAGGUUAUAAGCAGGAAUGCUGUGUAAGGCUUGAACCAGGCCCAGGAGAUCCAAUAUCUCCUGUCCACACCAAGCCAAGGUGCAUCUGAAGUGUGUAGCCAGCAUGGUCAGCCGGCAGCGGCACACAACAAUGCGAGCUGCAAGACUAUUCAUAUUUUCUACAGUUAGUUUGAAAAAUACAACCUGUCUGACUAAUAUAUGAUGAAGCACACUCAUAGGAGAGAGAGAACGAGCUGAAUCCUGGAAGACUGGCAAAUUCAUGCCCCAUCAGUGCUGCCUUUUUAAAAGUUGUUACUGUCUAUCAUGUACCUAAAUCAUUUUAAAAUGAGUUUUUGAAAUGUGUAUUGUUAGUUUUCCAACAGAUCCGAUGUAUAAAUAAUUAGAAUGGGGAUUUCAGUUUGGUCCUGAGCUGCAAGAUGUUCUGGAUGCUUUGGAAGUAAAGCACUUAGUCAAAUAGGGGGAAAGAUUUCUGCAAGUUGCCCUUCUGCUACCCCUUCUGGUCACCAUAAGGAACAGCGCCCAUAUUAGUACUUGCAGAGCAAUUCUCACCUUCAAAACACAAGUUCAGCAGAAGCUCAGAGUUACAAACUGACUGGUCAACCACACACCUCAUUUGGAACCUGAAGUACUCAAUCAGGCAGCAGCAGAGACCGAAAAAGAAAAGAAAAAAAAAAAA